AGUGGAGGGACGGGGAGGAGGCGGGCCGAGCCGGGGGGGGCGGGGCAGCGUGGCCUGGGUGGGCGGGGCGGAGGCGAGCUGGGCCGAGAGGGCGGGUCGGCCCCACCUGAGGCGCCGGAGGCGGGGCGGCCACCCUUUGCCUCGUUGCUGCCCGCUGAGAGCUCCUGACUCGCGGCCGCCCGGAUCCCGCGAGGCAUCGGUACCUCGCGAUGCUGUUCUACUUGGACAGAGCCCGCAGGGGGGACGGGCGGAAAGGAAGAGACACUCGUCUGUUGUCCCGAAAACCCCUCAGUGCCUUGGCUUCGCGGGGAAAUGGUUGCCUUUGUGCAAGUGGAUCGGCCUGGCCUCUCUUCAUUUGCCUUGUCUUUUAUUUUUCCAAGGAAAAAAUAUCAGCAGAGAAAGUUCCAGACUUUCUCUUCCCAUGCAGCCUUGUUUUCUGUAUUUAGCAAAUGCCAAACAUCGACCAUGUCUGCAAAUUUCCUCUCGGAAGAGCAAAGGCUUGUCUCGGAUGAACUUUUUGUCUGCAUCUCCAUCUGAUUACACACCCAUGUUUGUGUCCACGUGCCUUCCAGCUGCCACCUCACCACACGGGCCCCUUCAACCCCGGGCCCUGGGCAUUUCUAGCGAAUUUGUUUCCAGAACAGCUCAGACCGUCUGUAACCUUUCUCUUGGUCUAUCAGUGUCCCACCACUCUGACUCUGAGUUUUCAUGGAUCCAAGAGAGCAAUAAAUGAUGAAGGAAUGCAACCGUUUUGCUAAAAGGGGAAGUAUUAGCCCCGAGGAUCUUGAAAUUCAGCAUAAAAUGAAAAUUUCCAUUAGGCAAAUGCGUGCAAUUAUAAAUAAUUAAGCAAAAACCUUGACUAGUCAUUACGUGUUUCUUUAAAAAUGUCCCUAACGUUGACAUUGACCAAGAAGCAAAAGAAGGCUUAAGAAUCAAUGGGAACUUUGCUGAGUCCAAAAGGCAGAUUUUGCCACUUAAGCCAGUUUGUAAUGUCCCAUUAGUAUCCGAUCGCUAUAAAACUUUAAGCAUGCGUUUGGCUAUGAUGUCAGGCAGUACUCUGGGCCCAGAAGUAGCAGUCACAAAUCCACGGUGGAAAGAGCUUCACUAUUUUAAUGCUCUCAAAGGAUGCACUCACCCAAUUAAAAUCAUACAUCCCAUGCAUUAUCUGCUGUAUUUAGAGAUAUUUAAAGGCUGCAGUUACUGUAUCCUUGGUAAAA
rnacentral:lncRNA from 1 species